CUCCCCGCCCCCCAUCACUUGGCUCUCGUCUGGGCGGGGAGGGAUUUUUUUCUGGAAGUCUGCCCCCCACCCCACGGAGCAGGAUUUGAGCCUGGGCUCCAAUCUGGGCGGAGGCUGCAGGGCCCGCGGGGCACCCCCACCCCCCACCGCUCCGCGCACGCCUCCCCAGAGCCCCGAAAGGCGCAGCCCCAGGGGGCCUCCUGCACCCCCGGAGGAGGCAGCGGCGGACCAUGAUGCCCCAGUGCCCUCUUUCCCGGCCAAGGCACCUUCUCAGUGAAAUGGGGGGAAUAUUAAACCCUCCGUGUCAGAGCAGGGGCUCAAUCAGGCAGCUCUGAUGGGUCCCAAAGGGCACCAGCAGCCCUGGGAUGGGCAGGGGGCACAGCAGUGCCCUCGGCUUGGAGGGGGGCUCCCCCUGUGCCUGGCCGGGGCACCAGCUCCCCGCCCACUCCUGGGAUAGUGGCUUGGAGAGGAAGCAGUAAGCGCUGGGUCCCCGCUGGGCAGGGGCAGACUCCAGUUUCACUUUCUGCUGUGUCAUGGGGUGGGGGGUGGCAUCGGGGCCCAGCUGGCCAGCUGGGGCGGGCACCUAGACAGCUGCCAGCCCAGCUGCCAGAGCACAACCCACACCCACUCCUGCCCAGCAGCCUGCCAGAAUAGGGGUUGGGCCCUCGGGCCACCCCUUAACUGCCUCUCCCCACAAAGUGGGGAGAACCUCAAGUGAGAAAAGCCAGGUGACGGGGUGAAAUGGUUCCUGUUGAUUCUAGAUGAGAGCUCCCUGACCGGACACCUGCUUCCUGCCUCCCUUCGCUGGGCACAUGUCUGCUGAGGACCUACUGUGUGCCAAGCUCUGUGACAGGUGCCAGGGGUACACCAGGGAGCAAGACAGACCCUGCCCUCUUGGGGCUCCCAGUUGAGUCGGGGGGAGACAGACGAAAGUGUAAGCAAAGAAAGAAAGAAUCCCCUGUUGUGGGGAAAGUUCCACACUGUAGGCUUGGCGUUAGCAUCUCAGGGAGGGGCGUGCAUACAUGCCUGUCUAUGCACAUGUGCGUGUCAGCAAUGUGUCAGCUCCGGGGACACACAGCUAGAUGAAGAGCACAGACCUGGGGGCCAGAUGUCCCCUGUUUGAAUCUGGACUCUUUCACUGACGGGUGUGUGAACUCAGGUGACCUCAGGCAAGUCCCCGCUCCUGAGUUCCCCUGUCUGGGUGCUGGAGUACAAGUGUCUCCAUGACAGAGCUGCAGUGAGGAUGAACUAAGCGAACAUCCCUAAAGACGAAGGGCUGUGCCUGGCUCCGACCAUGUGCUAGAUAAACCUGCCAGUAAUUUCAGCGAAUGAAACGCAGAUCCUGGAAAGGCCAGAAGAUGGAAAACGCUCCAGUUUUGAUAAAAGGAGGUCUGCUCUGCCUCCAGUCCUCCCUCCUGCUGGUCAGGAGGCGCAAAGAGGAGCUGAUGAAUUGAGGGAGAAGAAACGAGGCCAAUGUGAGCCGCCUUUCAAGGGCUGUGCUGAUACACAAACCCAACAACCUGAAACUGGUCCAAGAGGGGAUUAAAGCAACAUGUUAUUGUGAGUGAUUGCUUAAUUUAUUGAGCUGUGGCAAGAUCUGUAAUGAAAUACAGCCCUUGCAACUGAUAACCUCCGGCUGCAAUUGAACUUGACAAUUAAGGAAUAUUUUCCAAGGAUUUUUCUGGAACAGCUUAGAAUUUUUUGUCUCCGUGGUGGGGUGCUUCUGAGCACUCAUUUUGCCAGGCAAGCUUUUUUCUUCUUUUCUUUUUUGGGAACGAAAGGCUGAUGUUAAUAGGAAAUAAGCGUCACUUUAUUGACUGCCUUGUGCACACCAGGCACUUAAUAUACUUUAUCUCUAAUCCUGACAACGGCCCAACGAAGGAACUCUUAUUCGUCCCUAUUUUACAGAUAUGAGGUUUCUAGGUGUUCAGUAACUUUCCCAAGUGACAUUGUCCAAGUCUGUAGCUAUUAGCCACUGGUGGCUAUUUAUGUCUAAAUUAAUUAAAAAUUAUCAAAGAAAUUCACUUCCUACGUUGCACUAGUAGCCAGCGCAAGUGCCCACUCACCAGGUGUGGCUGGUGGGCUCCACACUGGACAGCUCAGAUACGGACCAUUUCAAUGACUGUGGGAAGUUCUCGUGAUCGGUGCUGUCCCAGAAUGUUCACAGGUAGAAGUCCAACCCCUUGCUUCAAAAUUCUACCAUUACCCCUCGCUUCUUGCUUCUCUUCCUGGGGCUGAGGAGUAAGGACUGGAGCUGUGAGGCUAAACCCUGGCUGCACAUUCACGUUACCUGGGCUGCUUUAAAAAAAUAUUGAUGAUAUGGUCCCGGCCCUGGAGAUUCUGACUUUACUGUGAUCAGGGGGUGGGGAGGCGGGGAGACAGGCAUGAGGGGCUUUAUAAUUCCCCAUGUGUACAGCCAGGAUUGAGAGCAGCUAGAAGAGCAGGUCCACACACAGUAAGAUGGGAAGAACUGGCUCAUCUCCCAGCAGAAUGGGGUCGCUGUGGACCCAGGCGUGGGCUUCCCCCAGGCCUGCAUCUGAUAUGAGGUUUCUAGGUGUUCAGUAACUUCCAUCAGACGGCUCGGGUUCCUUCCUGCAGGCAGGGAAGACUUGGGUGCUUUCUCACACGUGUCCUGCUCGAUGGAGACACGGUGAGGAGCUCUGCUUUCAGGAACAGGCCCUGUCACGCCGCCACUGAAGAAAGGAGAUGGGAUGCGAGACCACAGGGACAAAGUGGGAUCUGCAGCCCCACCUUUGGAGUGGAAGCUCGGGACGAAUCCAUGCUGUAAUCUGCCUGACAGAAUAAAAGUGUUUCCCAGCUCUGUCAGCAAAGACAUUGCAUGGGAAGAAAAAGGGAGGGAGAGAGAACCUGCGGAUUGAGACGUAAGAGACACAUCAACCAAUCCCAAUGGAUGGAAAGGGUUAGAAAUACCAAUCCCGUCGCAGUGAGCACCGCCAGCACUCAGAUUAGGGUCUCUGCGCACCACCUCUGACGAGAAACCGGGGUUCUGUGCAGAGACAGAGAUCCCAGGUCUGAGGCAGGACAUGUGCAAGAGGAGCCUGGAACGUCCUGUCACCCGGGGAGCGUGGAAGCUCUGGAAGACUCUGGAUCAUGUCCGAAAAGAUGAAGGGGACAAUGUGAUAAGACAGCUGGCCAGAUGGGACAGUGGAGCAUCAAUAAGAACAGUAACUGCACUGGACUGGAAUGUGUUAGAUAUGUCCAAUCUAAGAGUUCACAAUGAUACCUAGAAAAAAAAGCAUAAACUCAUUUGUUAUCUUUGGGGGAUGUUGAGAAACCAACUCAUCAUGUUGAAAACUGUCAAAUAAAAGGAAAGAGUCAAGUCUUUUUCCUUUCUGGUAUGAACUGUACCUUACAGUAACCAAAUAGCUGAUAAAGGAAGUGUCUUUUUAUGGAGGUAUUCCAGCUAACACACAAAUACAGAAGGGUAGGAUUUAUUUGCCACUAUUUUGCAACCUCUAAUGGGCCCAGACAGUGAUCAUCGAUGCUGCUAACAUCACCAGACAUUCUGUGCCUUCAAAUGGAAACACACACACACACGCACACGCACACACACACACACACACACACUCACACCAUUAAUCUAAGUAGCUUCUAGAUCUAAUUACUGAUUUACAAGAAAUAUAUGGGGGAGAGGAACAUAAUACCAAUCUGGUAAUGCAAUAGGCAAAGUCCAGACUGUAGGACGCUCUACAGACAAACCAACCCAGCUUCUCAACAAAGACAUUGCAUGGGAAGAAAAAGGGAGGGAGAGAGAACCUGCAGAUUGAGAGAAAUGUAAGAGACACAUCAACCAAUCCCAAUGGAGGGAACUUGUAUGGGUCCCAAUUUAUCCAACUGUAAAGAAAACAUUUAUGAAACAACCAAAGAUUUUGAACACUGAGUAGAUAUUUGCUGAUAUUAACGCAUUACUGUUAGUUUUAGUAGGGGUCAUGAUGGGGUAAACCCCACUCCUCUUUUGGAGUCAUAUACGAAAACAUUUGCAAAAGAAACGAUUUCUGUCUGGAUUUUGCUUCUAAAUAUCUGAGAUGAAAGAGGAGGAGAACGGGUAUAGAUGGAACAAGACUGGCUGAGAGUUGGUGGUUGUUGAAGCCGGGAGAUGGGUAGUUGGGGUUCAUUGUACCACAUUGCUCUUGUGUAUGCUUAAAGCUUUUCAUAAUUAAAGUAAAUUUAAAAGUGAA